rnacentral:rRNA from 1 species
UCAAAUGAAUUGACGGGGCCCGCACAAGCGGAGGAACAUGUGGUUUAAUUCGAUGAUACGCGAGGAACCUUACCUGGGCUUAAAUGGGGAGUGACAGCUGUCGAAAGAUGGUUUUCUUCGGACACUCUUCAAGGUGCUGCAUGGUUGUCGUCAGCUCGUGCCGUGAGGUGUCGGGUUAAGUCCCAUAACGAGCGCAACCCUUACCGUUAGUUACCAUCAGGUUAAGCUGGGGACUCUAGCGGGACUGCCACCGUAAGGUGAGAGGAAGGUGGGGAUGACGUCAAAUCAGCACGGCCCUUAUGUCCAGGGCUACACACGUGUUACAAUGGCCAGUACAAAGGGCAGCUACCGGGUGACCGGAUGCUAAUCUCUAAAGCUGGUCUCAGUUCGGAUCGAAGUCUGCAACCCGACUUCGUGAAGCUGGAUUCGCUAGUAAUCGCGCAUCAGCCAUGGCGCGGUCGAAUACGUUCCCGGGCCUU